rnacentral:rRNA from 1 species
GAAUUUUAUAUAAAUAUUAUAACGGUUAGAUUAAUUUAUAAGAUUUUAUAUUUAGUUGGGAGGAUUAUUAAAUUUUAUAAACUUUAAUAUAAUAAUAACUUAAAUUAAAGAAUGUUAAGUAAAGAUUGACUUUAAAGUUAAAGUAGAUUAAAUUACCUUAGGGAUAACAGCGUAAUAUUUUUAGAGAGAUCUUAUUAAUAAAAAUUAUUGC